AUACGGAGGAUCCGAGCGUUAUCCGGAUUUAUUGGGUUUAAAGGGUGCGCAGGCGGCCAUUUAAGUUAGCGGUUAAAUCGUGGGGCUCAACCCCAUUCUGCCGUUGAUACUGGGUGGCUUGAUUGCGGUCGAGGUUGGCGGAAUUCGUUGUGUAGCGGGGAAAUGCAUAGAUAUGACGAAGAACACCGAUUGCGUAGGCAGCUGACCAGACCGCAAAUGACGCUCGUGCACGAAAGUGCGGGGAUCGAACAGGAUUAGAUACCCUGGUAGUCCGCACAGUAAACGAUGAAUACUUGUUUUCGGCGAUAUAAUGUCGGAGGCAAAGCGAAAGCGAUAAGUAUUCCACCUGGGGAGUACGCCGGCAACGGUGAAACUCAAAUGAAUUGACGGGG
rnacentral:rRNA from 1 species